rnacentral:rRNA from 1 species
CGCGUAGGUGGUAGUGUAAGUCUGGGGUGGGAAUCCCAGGGCUUAACCCUGGAACUGCCUUGGAAACUGUAUUACUUGAGUCAGUGAGGGGAGGGUAGAAUUCCUGGUGUAGCGGUGAAAUGCGUAGAUAUCAGGAGGAAGGCCUGUGGCGAAGGCGGCCCUCUGGCGCUGGACUGACACUGAGGCGCGAAAGCGUGGGGAGCAAACAGGAUUAGAUACCCUGGUAGUCCACGCCCUAAACGGUGGGCACUAGGUGUAGGGCUCGUAAGGGUUCUGUGCCGAAGGGAAACCAUUAAGUGCCCCGCCUGGGGAGUACGGCCGCAAGGUUGAA